rnacentral:rRNA from 1 species
UGGGGAAUCUUGCGCAAUGGGCGAAAGCCUGACGCAGCCAUGCCGCGUGAAUGAUGAAGGUCUUAGGAUUGUAAAAUUCUUUCACCGGGGACGAUAAUGACGGUACCCGGAGAAGAAGCCCCGGCUAACUUCGUGCCAGCAGCCGCGGUAAUACGAAGGGGGCUAGCGUUGCUCGGAAUUACUGGGCGUAAAGGGAGCGUAGGCGGACAUUUAAGUCAGGGGUGAAAUCCCGGGGCUCAACCUCGGAAUUGCCUUUGAUACUGGGUGUCUUGAGUGUGAGAGAGGUAUGUGGAACUCCGAGUGUAGAGGUGAAAUUCGUAGAUAUUCGGAAGAACACCAGUGGCGAAGGCGACAUACUGGCUCAUUACUGACGCUGAGGCUCGAAAGCGUGGGGAGCAAACA